UGAGUUGUAGUUUAACUUGGGAAAACGUCAUUUUUUGGUAAUGAACAAUAUCAGUUCGACUCUGAUUGACUCAG
rnacentral:tRNA from 1 species